GAACGCACAUUGCGCCCUCUGGUAUUCCGGAGGGCAUGCCUGUCCGAGCGUCAUUGCUGCCCUCCAGCCCGGCUGGUGUGUUGGGCCCCGCCCCCCUUCCCGGGGGGGCGGGCCCGAAAGGCAGCGGCGGCACCGCGUCCGGUCCUCGAGCGUAUGGGGCUUUGUCACCCGCUCUUGCAGGCCCGGCCGGCGCCAGCCGACCCCCUCAAUCUAUUUUUUCAGGUUGACCUCGGAUCAGGUAGGGAUACCCGCUGAACUUA
rnacentral:misc_RNA from 1 species